AAACUUGAGAGUUUGAUCAUGGCUCAGAAUGAACGCUGGCGGCAUGCCUAACACAUGCAAGUCGAACGAAGCCUUCGGGUUUAGUGGCGCACGGGUGCGUAACGCGUGGGAAUCUGCCCCUUGGUUCGGAAUAACAGUUGGAAACGACUGCUAAUACCGGAUGAUGACGUAAGUCCAAAGAUUUAUCGCCGAGGGAUGAG
rnacentral:rRNA from 1 species